rnacentral:lncRNA from 1 species
AACUGAUGUAUUUGCAUUUGGAGUGGUUCUGGCAGAGCUGAUAACAGGCCAGCGUGCACUUGUUCGGGACAACUGGGAGCCCAACAAGAUGAGAUCUCUAAUUACAGUAGUGAGGCCAAAAAUUCUUCAAGAAAAAGAAAAAUAAAAAUAAAAACUAAUUGAAUCAAGCUUGAUAAAUCUAAAUAAAAAAGAUGUGCUCUAGUUGAAAAUUUGAUGACAGUUAGCUAUGUGGAAGGACAGAGAAAACUCAAACUCAUUAAUCAAUGUCACUGACAACAUUAACCAAGAAAAGGAAAAAUAGUUUAAAAAUUCCUUUGAAAAAUUUAAGUAGUUAAAAGGCUGGAUGUUAUUUGAGAAAUUAUCAGCUUGAUUUUAUUAAUCAAAAUGGUAGAUGUGAUCAAUCAACAAGGCUAUUUAUUCUCCUGCUAUCAAACAGCUAACAAAAUUAUUUGCAGGUUCAGCUGCAUACCAUUUUCAUAUAUGCAUAUGUUUGUAAUGACAUGAAGUGUUUUCCCUACUAUUUUGGCACUACCACUGUUUUACAAAUGAAUGCUCUGGGCACGCACUACAAUUAAUAAAAUCUGAUUAUGAUGACCCAAAAAAUUUUCUCUUUUGUCACAUGAACAGGUUUACAAAAUUUUUGAAGAUGAAGAUCCAGAGAGUGCCUUAGAAAGUGCAGUAGACAGAAAUCUCCGGGGUAGCUUCCCCAUGGAUGAUGUCUACAAGGUUAGCCCAACUUAUUCCAAUUUUCUUCAUGGAUGCCUUUGGCUCCUAUUAUUUUAUGCUGUAAAAGGAUAACGUCACUAGGAUGAUGACAUUCAUCAUUCAACCGGAGCUUAAAUACUAACACAAAUCAAGCUUCUAUAACACCAUCAGCAGGACAUAAAACUUUACAAGACUAGUUCAAAGCUUUAAAAGCAAUAUUCAAGCGUCCAAUUCAUAGAUUAAAGGCUUUACAUCUCUCAUAAUGUUAUUCCAAAUUUUACUGUCAAACAAUACACUUUUGAAGGAAGCAGACUUGCUUGACCUAAGCAAACUUCUGUAGAAAUGGACUCAGAAUUGCAGAUUAUAGAACUGAAUCAUGGGUACCAUAAUAUCUAUAUGUGAGAAGACUACUGUUGAUUCAAAUAUGAUAAAAUAUUACUUUUUGCAGAUGGCAGAAAUUGCAGAAUGGUGUUUGAGCGAAGACCCAAUCAAUAGACCAGAAAUACGAGAUAUUCUUCCAAUGCUAUCUAAUAUCAUGACAUCCUCAGUAGAAUGGGAAGCAUCACUGGGAGGGAACAGCCCAGUUUUUAGUGGGAUCUAUAAUGGAAGAUGAGAAUCACAAAUUCAAAAGCUGCAUUUGAGGGUGUAAAAUGUUUCUGUCAGCUAUAGUUACAAAUCCAAACUAGCCUGCUUUUUUAUUCAGGAAAAUUCGUAUACAACACUUGACAAGAGUGACUGUACAAAUACAUAGAGCGACUUACCUAUGCCAAAUUCUUUCUAUUUUGUAUUGAAAAAACUAACUAGAGUUGUCAAAGGAACAGUUUAAAAAUUUUAUUAACAACAAGAAACAUCCUCUCUAAUACCUAGAGUUCAAUUCACAGCAUUCCCCCACCAUUCUCAUUGAGUGAAAAUCCAAAUUAGCAAUUCUUUCAUACUAAUUAACUGCCCUUAGUAAAAGACAGCAAUUGUGCGCUAAUGGAAAUAGCAGAAGGCAAGAACCAAAAUUCGAUAUGAAAGAGUUGCAUUUGGCUGCGGAGAAACAAUAAUUUAGUUUUAAGGGUUGCAUUUUUUUGUUGCAGCAAAACGGGCGCAAAUCUCGAAAUCCAGAUAGAAGAAAAAACAGAAAGGAAAGCUUUACAGGAAAGCGAGUGAGAGAAAUUGGCCUGUGAAAGGACCUUGAAGCGUCCAUGGCACACCGAGCACCAGUCGAUUGCCGGAGUUCUGGCCAUUCCUUCUCUUUUCUUCCUUGGCAAUAAGCACUAGUAAGCAAUAGCAAUAAUAAUAAUAAUAAUAAUAC